AAGAAGGUUCUAGCGAGAAGGAGAAGUAGCCGCCACUUCCGAUCCGGCCACGAGGAGUCUAAUUCAGGUCAAGAUUUCUUCACAAAUACUUCACAGAAUCAAUAGGAAGCAUUCUAGACCCUUGAAUCCUUCAAAACCGUCAAGAAACGGAGAAAAUCCGUAGAGAGCAUGUGCUCAUAAUCCCUGAAGGAAAUCUUGAGAUUCAGAUCGGAAAUAAGAGUUCCGGCUUUCACCCAAGAAUAGAUGGGACACGUGUCAGGUACGGAAUGGCGGGGAAAAUUGACGAAAAAUACUGCGUCAGGUAGGGUUUGAAGACCGGCGCCCGCUACUAGAUCCGUGAACCCGCGCGGGACCCGAACCCGCAUCUGCCACGCGUCAGCGUGGGAAAAUUCGUAGGAACCCGCAUGCAUCGAGAUUCGAACCACGCCCUGCCUCUCAGUGGACCAGUCAGCCCUCGCCACGUGGCGACACACCAGCGCGCGACUCCAUCCCCUCAGCGCGUCCGUACGCGCGCGUGUCUGUGCGCGUGAGAAAUCGCUUCGGCCAGACCUAUCAGUAAACAUUCAAGAGUUUUGGGCUCUUAAUUAGUCGAAAAGUGAGCUUCGAAGGGCACGCUUCAUUCGUACGGAAGAGUUUGUGUAUCUACGCUUCGGGUGUUGAUGGAUGUUACUGUUAGGAUCGCACAACAACGCACACGCUCGAUCUAGAUGAACACAAAGAAAAGGAUAGA